UACAGAGGUGGCAAGCGUUGUUCGGAAUUACUGGGCGUAAAGGGCGCGUAGGCGGUUCGUUAAGUCCUGUGUGAAAUCCCCCGGCUCAACUGGGGAACUGCACAGGAAACUAGCGGGCUUGAGUUCGGGAGAGGGAAGCGGAAUUCCGGGUGUAGCGGUGAAAUGCGUAGAUAUCCGGAGGAACACCAAUGGCGAAGGCAGCUCGCUGGGACGGUAUUGACGCUGAGGAGCGAAAGCAUGGGGAGCGAACAGG
rnacentral:rRNA from 1 species